rnacentral:lncRNA from 1 species
GUGGGCCAAUCAACUAUGACAUAUAGUCCUUCUAUCACGAGUCCCGACUAGACGGAGGUCAUGAAAUAACUCGUCAAACCGUAUCGUCUGUCAUAUGUUAAAUUUAUUCGACUCGAGUUUCUAAUAUCAAAAACCCCUUUCCGCUAUUAACUAUAUCAUGGCUAAAUUCUUCUAAACUCGGUCUCAUAAAUCAUAUAGGACUAACGCCCCUAUCUACCAAGGGAGAUAGAUUCUAUAUAAGUGCACACUCUAUUCCUAUUAUAAACCUAUUGCAGCCAACAUACACCACAAGGACCUGAAUGGCUAGGGACCAAGUGUAUGUACAGUCAAACUAUAGUAACCUCAUUGUGAAUAACCGAGACACCGCAGAUCAAAGGACUAGUCAAGCUACUGCAACAUUGAGUAAGUCACUGACGAAUAAGUAGACAUCUAAGUGACUUC